UUUGAAACAAGAAAUCUUCCAGUUUUUCUUCUGAAUUAAAUUGCUUUUAAUUUUAGAUGCUCAACAGUGAUUUUUGUAUACAUUGGGAGUCUCACAAAACCAGGGAGGUUUUGUAUGUUAGAAGUCUUGAAAAUGUUCAAAUCCCCUUUUUGGAGGUAUUGGGGAGUUAUGUUUUAUCUAUCAUUGGAAAAGGGAAGUGCAUGUGUCACUGAGGCUUAAUUUCAUGUUUCCCCACAUCAACCUUUAUACGCCUUCCAAUGGGAAAAGCAUUGGUUUUUCUCCAUUGGGAGUAUUGAGCAUUUAGGAGAAUUUCUAGGUCUCUAAUCCUCUUCCUUGUGCAGGGAAACUGUUCAUUAUUUUCAGUUUAAUGCCUCCAUAUUGUUGAUCAUAAACUUCCCUUACAAAGGUGAGUGUCAUUGUCUGUUUACCUGGGAGAAUGUGCAGCACAGAAAUGGGGGAUGAUUCAUCCACAUCAUCUUAGUGAUCUGGUGAUUGAGGCUGCUGUUUUCCUGAUGGCUUGUGCCUUAAUCAUAUCCUCCUGUAAAGGCUGGCUCAGACAUGACCUCUCAAGGGCUCUGCUCACAUUUUAUAUUAAUAACAAGAAGAAAAAAUUACUUUAGAUAGAAUUCUUUCUCACUUGUUGGAAUGAAAAGAGACCCUAAUAUUACUUUAUAAUUUUCCCAAACUUUCAUUUUGCUCUGUUGUUUUGUUUAGCACCACUUGUGAGAAGGUCUGGCAGCCACUCAAGAGAAUACAGAAAUAGACUGAGUCCAACCUGGAUCAGGUCAGACAUAUUUUUGCCCUGUGCAAAUAGAAUCACUGCUGGCAUCAACUUAGUAAGGAUUUUCUUUUCUUUGUCAAUUCAAAGCUUUCUAGAUAUUUAGAUUUUAAUAUUGAGAUUUUUUUUACAUCUUUAGAUUUUAAUAUUAAGAUACUUAGGGAGGCAAGAGUAUUUCACUCCAAAGCAGUAUACAGUGACUAGUGCAUCAGGUGAAGCUACCAUGGCUACCCCAAGGCUUUUGCAAGUCACCCGUGGCUGACCUCAGGCCAGUCCUGCCUCGAGCUGCUGCACUGCUCACAACCACAGCCUGAAGUUUCCCUGCCCCACGUGUGCCACAGGAGACCUUCUCUUAGAAGAGCAGAUUCUUCUUUCCUCCAGCUUCCCAGACAGGCUCAAACCCUGCCAAUAUUCCUGAGCAAGAAGAGCCUCAGUUUUACGGAUGUCUGCCAAAAACUGUCGUUGUGUUACCUGGUAUAUUAAGGUAUUGCUUCAUCUAUGAAUUUGUCACUUAGAUUUUUAAUAUUCUACUUUGAUGAAGUGCUUUUAAAUGACAAAUAUUUAAGAAGAGUUUUAUACAGAACAAUUUCAAAAUAUAUGUAAUGUAGGAAUUAAUAUUCCAGUACAGCAUUUAUAAUAAAGCACUUUAUUUUUAAGGGAAACUUAUCAGUAAGAAUAUUUCAGUACUGAAUUUAAAGGAGGCAUACAGAAAUGUGGUCUGUUAUCAGACUUACCACAGACUGUAUCUGGAAAACCUAGCAGACAUCUUUGCCCACAUUCACAAAUGCCAAAUUUAGUAGUUUGGUGUGACACUACAAACAAUAACAUCCAGUUCAAGCUGAGAUAACUUGCUGAAGUCCAGACUUUUCCAUCCUCUUGCUGAGGACUAGAUUUUUAUCAUCACUUCUCACUCCUUUGCCUUCCUAGUAUAUACAAAUAUAUUCCAUAUGUAAUGAUUCUCACAUUUCAGGCACACAGGUGGACUGAGCAACUGUUUUUAGCUAAAGAUUAUAUAACCAGUAAUUUUGAAAGAAACUUUGACAGAGAAAGACUGAGCAACCCACAGCUUCUUCCAACUGUGUAACUUUUACAAACCUUUAUUAAUUCAACUUAUUUCAAUCCUUAACUAUUUUAAUACGUGAAUCUUGUAAUAAAAAAUUCAACCACAACAAAAAAACCCCAAGAAAACAACACUGGUUAUCCCUUAACCAAAUAUAACAUAAUCCAGAUGUAGCCUGAGACACAUCAAGUCUGUGGGACUAAGCCAAGUGACAAAACAAUUUACACAGGUAGUUAGAGGUCAAGACUUCACAGUUAUUAAUCUCGGAAUACAGUAGUAACAUACACUAAUCCAUGUAAUUCUAAUAUGUACAAAGUCUUGCAAUUAACAAUGCCAUUUUGUGUAUAUUCUGGGGAGAAAAACCAAACUCAUCUAAACAAACUCUAACAAAACCCUCACAGAAGCUAUGGGAAAGGAUGCAGUUAUUUGUGAUGAGACACUGUCAGUGUCAGGCUACACAGCUGAAUGAAGCCUACAAAGACAAUGCUUCAAAAGCAGCAGUAUGACCUUAAGGCAACCUAACUUCCAUAGCAAAUGUCCAAGUGAAAAGCUGAAAAAAAACCACUUCUUGAAUGUAAAUGUCUUAAGAUGGAGACAUUAAAUAUGUUUCUGUUAGAAGUUAAAAUAAAGGAGAAAAUCUGGGUAUGCUGAGAUUAAUACUAGUGUGAAGACAAAUACCAGCUGAAAGAAUAUAUUCUAGUGCUUUUAAAAAAUUAGAAGUAUGCUUUUAAUACAGAUCCCAUCUUCCAACCUUUCUAAUACCCUAGCUGUAAAUUUGGUUAAGUUUAAAUUGAGUAGCUGCAGAAAUUGGUGAUGAAAACACAAAAAAGAAAUUUAAGUGCACUACUCAGUCCUUUUUUAAUUCUUACUGUACCAAUCAAAACUGGUGGUCAAAACAGAGAUCCUUUUAAAAAAACAAUGAAAUGUAUCCAGCCACUUUAAAAAGUAACCUAUAUGAUAAAUGGAGUGUAAAUAUUUGAGGAGGUUUAGAUAACCAAUAACUGAAAGGGAAAAACAACUAGUUACAAUUUUCAAGUUUUUCCUUUCGCACCAUUCCAGGUCUUUGGAACAUGUUUCAAAGUGUGCACACAGCAGGAAUUGAAGGUCCCCUUCAAGGACCCACACGUGAAGAUAACUGAGGACACCGUGCAGGCUGGAGUCAGGCUAACAGGUUAACCUUUUCCUUCAAACCUAUGGCUCAAAUGAGCACUUUCAUGUUACAAAUCCAGAACCAUAAAGCAGCUGAGUGCAUGGGUAACAACAGUAGAGGAGGUUUUUAGUUUGCUAAAUUGGAAUGGUCAUGGAGGUAAUCCGGACUCCUGCCUAACGAAGUUAUCUCCUCACACCUCUCAAGUAUGACAAGUCAUUUAAAGAAUUCUCAUUUGGACAUUUUAUACAGUGGAAAAGAGAAAAGAGCUUUGCUCUGGCCUUGUCAUUCAACUCAACUGUGUGGGCAGAGGUGGCAGGAAAGGAUAUAAUGCAGUACAACUUAUGUAAAUUGUAACCUGUUUUAAAACCUUUUUUUCACACUUUGUCAGCCAGGCUUCAAACAGGGAGGUAUUAAUACUUCCCAGAGUAGAUGGAGACAUACUGUUUGUGCAAUUUUAAAUUCUAAACCUAGAUUAGUACUUAUGUCUAUGUCCAAAGUACUGCAUUAGGGAGUAUGGUAUUAGGGUCCUCAUUACAUGAAAAAAACCCACAAUAAACCAUAGCACUGCUAUCAUCUAAGCUCUUCCCUACUUUAUAAGAAAAGUCCAAUUUGAAAUUUCUCACAGACUUUUUUCCUGCAGCUUCCUCCCAUCAGACACUGAUGGUACUGAUUUUCCUUUUCCUCUACUGUAUUCCAUUCCUGUUAGUUGACUG